rnacentral:rRNA from 1 species
GAUGAACGCUGGCGGCGUGCCUAAUACAUGCAAGUCGAGCGAACAGACGAGGAGCUUGCUCCUCUGACGUUAGCGGCGGACGGGUGAGUAACACGCGGAUAACCUACCUAUAAGACUGGGAUAACUUCGGGAAACCGGAGCUAAUACCGGAUAAUAUAUUGAACCGCAUGGUUCAAUAGUGAAAGACGGUUUUGCUGUCACUUAUAGAUGGAUCCGCGCCGCAUUAGCUAGUUGGUAAGGUAACGGCUUACCAAGGCAACGAUGCGUAGCCGACCUGAGAGGGUGAUCGGCCACCCUGGAACUGAGACACGGUCCAGACUCCUACGGGAGGCAGCAGUGGGGAAUUUUCCGAAAUGGGCGAAAGCCUGACGGAGCAACGCCGGGGGGGUGAAGAAGGUUUUGGGUUCGUAAACCUUUGUUAUUAGGGAAAAAAAAAUGUGUAAGUAACUAUGCACGUUUUGACGGUACCAAAUCAGAAAGCCACGGCUAACUACGU